AGUGGCGACCGGGUGAGUAACACGUGACUAACCUACCUCCGAGUGGGGAAUAACUCCGGGAAACCGGGGCUAAUACCGCAUAACAUCGCAAGAUCAAAGCAGCAAUGCGCUUGGAGAGGGGGUCGCGGCUGAUUAGCUAGUUGGCGGGGUAACGGCCCACCAAGGCGAAGAUCGGUAUCCGGCCUGAGAGGGCGCACGGACACACUGGAACUGAAACACGGUCCAGACUCCUACGGGAGGCAGCAGUGGGGAAUUUUGCGCAAUGGGGGAAACCCUGACGCAGCAACGCCGCGUGGAGGAUGAAGCCCUUUGGGGCGUAAACUCCUUUCGACUCGGACGAUAAUGACGGUACGAGUGGAAGAAGCACCGGCUAACUCUGUGCCAGCUGCCGCGGUAAUACAGAGGGUGCAAGCGUUGUUCGGAAUUAUUGGGCGUAAAGGGCGCGUAGGCGGUGCGGUAAGUCACCUGUGAAAUCUCCUGGCUUAACUGGGAGCCUGCAGGCGA
rnacentral:rRNA from 1 species